rnacentral:tRNA from 1 species
GGUUCGGUGGUGUAGUUGGUUAUCACUUCUGUCUAACACACAGGCGGUCAUCAGUUCGAGUCUGGUCCGAAUCA